UUCGGGUUGUGAGGUUAAGCGACUAAGCGUACACGGUGGAUGCCCUGGCAGUCAGAGGCGAUGAAGGGCGUGCUAAUCUGCGAUAAGCGCCGGUAAGGUGAUAUGAACCGUUAUAACCGGCGAUACCCGAAUGGGGAAACCCAGUGUGAUUCGUCACACUAUCAUUAACUGAAUCCAUAGGUUAAUGAGGCGAACCGGGGGAACUGAAACAUCUAAGUACCCCGAGGAAAAGAAAUCAACCGAGAUUCCCCCAGUAGCGGCGAGCGAACGGGGAGGAGCCCAGAGCCUGAAUCAGCAUGUGUGUUAGUGGAAGCGUCUGGAAAGGCGCGCGAUACAGGGUGACAGCCCCGUACACAAAAGCGCAUAUGCUGUGAGCUCGAUGAGUAGGGCGGGACACGUGGUAUCCUGUCUGAAUAUGGGGGGACCAUCCUCCAAGGCUAAAUACUCCUGACUGACCGAUAGUGAACCAGUACCGUGAGGGAAAGGCGAAAAGAACCCCGGCGAGGGGAGUGAAAAAGAACCUGAAACCGUGUACGUACAAGCAGUGGGAGCCCCACCAUUAAGCCAGUGGUGAACUCCACAUACGCAUCCUUUGCUGAGGAGACGGUUAACGGAGCGAAAGCGACGUUCAACCUCAAAAGAAGCAGAGGGGGCUUAGUGGUGGGGUGACUGCGUACCUUUUGUAUAAUGGGUCAGCGACUUAUAUUCUGUAGCAAGGUUAACUGUAUAGGGGAGCCGGAGGGAAACCGAGUCUUAACCGGGCGUUAAGUUGCAGGGUAUAGACCCGAAACCCGGUGAUCUAGCCAUGGGCAGGUUGAAGGUUGGGUAACACUAACUGGAGGACCGAACCGACUAAUGUUGAAAAAUUAGCGGAUGACCUGUGGCUGGGGGUGAAAGGCCAAUCAAACCGGGAGAUAGCUGGUUCUCCCCGAAAGCUAUUUAGGUAGCGCCUCGUGAAUUCAUCUCCGGGGGUAGAGCACUGUUUCGGCUAGGGGGCCAUCCCGGCUUACCAACCCGAUGCAAACUGCGAAUACCGGAGAAUGUUAUCACGGGAGACACACGGCGGGUGCUAAUGUCCGUCGUGAAGAGGGAAACAACCCAGACCGCCAGCUAAGGUCCCAAAGUCAUGGUUAAGUGGGAAACGAUGUGGGAAGGCCCAGACAGCCAGGAUGUUGGCUUAGAAGCAGCCAUCAUUUAAAGAAAGCGUAAUAGCUCACUGGUCGAGUCGGCCUGCGCGGAAGAUGUAACGGGGCUAAACCAUGCACCGAAGCUGCGGCAGCGACACCGUGUGUUGUUGGGUAGGGGAGCGUUCUGUAAGCCUGUGAAGGUGUGCUGUGAGGCAUGCUGGAGGUAUCAGAAGUGCGAAUGCUGACAUAAGUAACGAUAAAGCGGGUGAAAAGCCCGCUCGCCGGAAGACCAAGGGUUCCUGUCCAACGUUAAUCGGGGCAGGGUGAGUCGACCCCUAAGGCGAGGCCGAAAGGCGUAGUCGAUGGGAAACGGGUUAAUAUUCCCGUACUUGGUGUUACUGCGAAGGGGGGACGGAGAAGGCUAUGUUGGCCGGGCGACGGUUGUCCCGGUUUAAGCGUGUAGGUAUGUGUUCCAGGUAAAUUCCGGUUCACUUUAACACUGAGGCGUGACGACGAGGCACUACGGUGCUGAAGCAACAAAUGCCCUGCUUCCAGGAAAAGCCUCUAAGCAUCAGGUAACAUCAAAUCGUACCCCAAACCGACACAGGUGGUCAGGUAGAGAAUACCAAGGCGCUUGAGAGAACUCGGGUGAAGGAACUAGGCAAAAUGGUGCCGUAACUUCGGGAGAAGGCACGCUGACACGUAGGUGAAGUGAUUUACUCACGGAGCUGAAGUCAGCCGAAGAUACCAGCUGGCUGCAACUGUUUAUUAAAAACACAGCACUGUGCAAACACGAAAGUGGACGUAUACGGUGUGACGCCUGCCCGGUGCCGGAAGGUUAAUUGAUGGGGUCAGCGCAAGCGAAGCUCCUGAUCGAAGCCCCGGUAAACGGCGGCCGUAACUAUAACGGUCCUAAGGUAGCGAAAUUCCUUGUCGGGUAAGUUCCGACCUGCACGAAUGGCGUAAUGAUGGCCAGGCUGUCUCCACCCGAGACUCAGUGAAAUUGAACUCGCUGUGAAGAUGCAGUGUACCCGCGGCAAGACGGAAAGACCCCGUGAACCUUUACUAUAGCUUGACACUGAACAUUGAGCCUUGAUGUGUAGGAUAGGUGGGAGGCUUUGAAGUGUGGACGCCAGUCUGCAUGGAGCCGACCUUGAAAUACCACCCUUUAAUGUUUGAUGUUCUAACGUGGACCCGUGAUCCGGGUUGCGGACAGUGUCUGGUGGGUAGUUUGACUGGGGCGGUCUCCUCCUAAAGAGUAACGGAGGAGCACGAAGGUUGGCUAAUCCUGGUCGGACAUCAGGAGGUUAGUGCAAUGGCAUAAGCCAGCUUGACUGCGAGCGUGACGGCGCGAGCAGGUGCGAAAGCAGGUCAUAGUGAUCCGGUGGUUCUGAAUGGAAGGGCCAUCGCUCAACGGAUAAAAGGUACUCCGGGGAUAACAGGCUGAUACCGCCCAAGAGUUCAUAUCGACGGCGGUGUUUGGCACCUCGAUGUCGGCUCAUCACAUCCUGGGGCUGAAGUAGGUCCCAAGGGUAUGGCUGUUCGCCAUUUAAAGUGGUACGCGAGCUGGGUUUAGAACGUCGUGAGACAGUUCGGUCCCUAUCUGCCGUGGGCGCUGGAGAACUGAGGGGGGCUGCUCCUAGUACGAGAGGACCGGAGUGGACGCAUCACUGGUGUUCGGGUUGUCAUGCCAAUGGCACUGCCCGGUAGCUAAAUGCGGAAGAGAUAAGUGCUGAAAGCAUCUAAGCACGAAACUUGCCCCGAGAUGAGUUCUCCCUGAGACUUUAGGUCUCCUGAAGGAACGUUGAAGACGACGACGUUGAUAGGCCGGGUGUGUAAGCGCAGCGAUGCGUUGAGCUAACCGGUACUAAUGAACCGUGAGGCUUAACCUUACAACGCCGAA
rnacentral:rRNA from 1 species